UGCUUUUAUCAAGAGCUUUAAAAGAUGCACUACGCUUGGCAGACUUGAACUAGGCUGUGUUGUAAGUUUUAGAAUUUUAAUUUUCAUGAAGCUGAGGGAUACAUGAUAUGUGCUAAAAUAAUUUUUGACUUGUAGAAAGAAAUUUAGAUCUGUGAAAGUUGUUACUAGUGGAAGAAUUAUUAUCUUUUGGUCUUGUUGGACGGUAAAUCUUGUGAACAGGCGUUUUUUUUUUAAAAUUGGGAGAGCUCUCUGCAACUAAGAUGUUUAUGGGGCAUGUAUGUGGCUUGAGCUAAACUUGCAGCAAGCAUCAGAAACAAGAAAUCGACAGUAGAAUCAGAAACACAGAAAUCAUCAGCAAAAACGAGCAGCAGUAGCAGAACCCAGAAAUCAUCAGCGGCUACAAUAUAAAUCAGCAGCUACAGCAACUAUAAUUGGCAGUGGCAGCAACAGAAUCAGCAGCGGUUAGGUUUACUGAAAGUUGAUGAAAAAAAGACAAAAGAAGAAAGUGGUGUGACGGCGGGAGAUGAGAAUUAGGGUUAUUUGAUUAGGGUAUAUAUAUGUAUAUAUAUAUAAUAUGUGCGUGUGUGUGUGUGUAAAGCUUAAAACAACUUAGUUUAGCAUUUCAGUUUUUUAUCUAUUAAAACGAACCGUUUUUUUUAAA